rnacentral:lncRNA from 1 species
AAAUUCUCAUUUAAAUUUAAAGCCAAAAUGUAUCAACUAUUCAAAAUACAUCCCAAUAAUACUAUCUGUACAUCUCAAAUUCAAAAUAUACCAAUUACAAAGAAUAUUAAUACCAUACAACAUUUACAUCCCAAUAAUACCAAACUAUCCAUACAUCUCAAAUUCACUUGCUACCUAAAUGUAUACAUCCUUUCCACCAAAAAAUGUCAUUAGAAGUCUCCAACAAUAUACUUAGACUUCAGAGAUUAAAACUUUUUUUGGUGGUCAAACCUUAGUAACCCAGGAAACUUACAGUGUGUUACUUGAUACAAGUACUCGGAAUCUAACAAACCACUUGGCAUCAGAGGAAACAUUGUCAGGCUGUACUUGCAGCUGCUGUGUUUGUAAUUGAGGUUGUCCUUUUCCCAUCACAAAUUGUGCAUAGUCUAAAGUUUUUGGAGGACAAGUUUUUGGCAGUGAAGCUUGAAACAAAGAGACAGUCAUAUAGUUAAAAUCUAUAUUGCUGUUAUUGCUGUAGAAUGCCAUCCUCCAGCAUCAAUAUCAUC